AUUGAACGCUGGCGGCAUGCCUUACACAUGCAAGUCGAACGGUAACGGGCCUUCGGGUGCCGACGAGUGGCGAACGGGUGAGUAAUGCAUCGGAACGUACCUUUCAGUGGGGGAUAACGUAGCGAAAGUUACGCUAAUACCGCAUAUUCUGUGAGCUGGAAAGCAGGGGAUCGCAAUACCUUGCGCUGAUUGAGCGGCCGAUGUCAGAUUAGCUAGUUGGUGAGGUAAAGGCUCACCAAGGCGACGAUCUGUAGCGGGUCUGAGAGGAUGAUCCGCCACACUGGAACUGAGACACGGUCCAGACUCCUACGGGAGGCAGCAGUGGGGAAUUUUGGACAAUGGGGGCAACCCUGAUCCAGCCAUGCCGCGUGAGUGAAGAAGGCCUUCGGGUUGUAAAGCUCUUUCGGUCGGGAAGAAAUCGCAUGGGUUAAUACCCUGUGCGGAUGACGGUACCGGCAUAAGAAGCACCGGCUAACUACGUGCCAGCAGCCGCCGUAACAC
rnacentral:rRNA from 1 species